rnacentral:rRNA from 1 species
UAUUCCCCACUGCUGCCUCCCGUAGGAGUCUGGACCGUGUCUCAGUUCCAAUGUGGGGGACCUUCCUCUCAGAACCCCUAACCAUCGUCGCCUUGGUGGGCCGUUACCUCACCAACUAGCUAAUGGUACGCGAGCCAAUCCGUAGGCAAUGAAUCUAUUAAACAAAAACCAUGCGGUCUCUGUUGUUACGGAGUAUUACACGACGUUUCCAUCGACUAUCCUCCACCUACGGGCAUGUUGCUCACGCGUUACUCACCCUUUCGCCGGUCGCCGUCAGAGUAUUGCUACUCCACGCUGCCCCUCGACUUGCAUGUGUUAAGCCUGCCGCCAGCGUUCAUCCUGAGCCA